rnacentral:rRNA from 1 species
UACGAAGGGGGCUAGCGUUGCUCGGAAUUACUGGGCGUAAAGCGUGCGCAGGCGGUUUGCUAAGACAGGUGUGAAAUCCCCGGGCUUAACCUGGGAACUGCGCUUGUAACUGGCAAGCUUGAGUGUGGCAGAGGGGGGUAGAAUUCCACGUGUAGCAGUGAAAUGCGUAGAGAUGUGGAGGAACACCGAUGGCGAAGGCAGCCCCCUGGGUCAAGACUGACGCUCAUGCACGAAAGCGUGGGGAGCAAACAGG